rfam:Zea mays cultivar B73 chromosome 10, whole genome shotgun sequence.
ACACUGGAUUUUUUAAAAUCCAUCGUCAGUUGACACCAAUUGCAAG